UACGGAGGAUGCGAGCGUUAUCCGGAUUUAUUGGGUUUAAAGGGUGCGUAGGCGGGCUGUUAAGUCAGCGGUAAAAGCCCGGGGCUCAACCCCGGCGAGCCGUUGAAACUGGCUGUCUUGAGAUGUCGAGAGGUAUGCGGAAUGCGCGGUGUAGCGGUGAAAUGCAUAGAUAUAACUUAGAACCCCGAUAGCGAAGGCAGCUUACCAGACUGUUACUGACGCUGAAGCACGAGAGCGUGGGUAGCGAACAGG
rnacentral:rRNA from 1 species